CAGCCGUAAACUAUGCGCGUUAGGUGUACUGGUGACCACGAGUCACCGGGGUGCCGAAGGGAAACCGUGAAACGUGCCGCCUGGGAAGUACGGUCGCAAGGCUGAAACUUAAAGGAAUUGGCGGGGGAGGCACCACAACGGGUGGGAGCCUGCGGGUUUAAUUUGGACUCAACGCCGGAAAUCUCACCGGAUAGGACAGACAUAUGAUAGUCGGGCUGAAGACUCUACUUGAUGAUCUGAGAGGAGGUGCAUGGCGUCAGUGACU
rnacentral:rRNA from 1 species